rnacentral:rRNA from 1 species
AUUGAACGCUGGCGGCAUGCCUUACACAUGCAAGUCGAACGGCAGCACGGGAGCAAUCCUGGUGGCGAGUGGCGAACGGGUGAGUAAAGUAUCGGAACGUGCCCAGUCGUGGGGGAUAACGUAGCGAAAGUUACGCUAAUACCGCAUACGAUCUAUGGAUGAAAGCGGGGGAUCGCAAGACCUCGCGCGAUUGGAGCGGCCGAUAUCAGAUUAGGUAGUUGGUGGGGUAAAGGCUCACCAAGCCGACGAUCUGUAGCUGGUCUGAGAGGACGACCAGCCACACUGGGACUGAGACACGGCCCAGACUCCUACGGGAGGCAGCAGUGGGGAAUUUUGGACAAUGGGCGAAAGCCUGAUCCAGCCAUGCCGCGUGCAGGAUGAAGGCCUUCGGGUUGUAAACUGCUUUUGCACGGAACGAAAAGGUUUGGCCUAAUAAGCUGAGCUCAUGACGGUACCGUAAGAAUAAGCACCGGCUAACUACGUGCAGCAGCCGCAGUAA